CUUGGAUACACCUGUUAGAGCUCUUCACCAUUCUACUGCUGGUAACAAGGCCAACACGGACACUCUUCCUCUGAAGCGGACAUGUCCAAAUUGUCCUCUAUUUAGUCUGUCUGUCAAGUCUCCUCUGAUGUCUGAAGAUGAUGCCAGAAGUAAGCUAAGGUCCUGGCUUCUCCCAAGACCUUCAUGGACCCAACUGACCUCUGAAUCAGCUGUAAAGAAAAAAAAAAAAAAAAAAAAAAACGAUUGUCUAAGAAUGGGACAGCGAUGUUGCAUCAGUUGGUCUUCAUUUGAUUCCACCAUCAUCACAAGGCUGCAAGGGACCUGGAAAAAUCUCAUCCUGUCAAGCUGAAACAUCUUCAAAAAGACACUAACAAGAACAGCUUGAUUGCAGAGAAGGACCACACAGGCGUACCUGCUCGCUGAUGGGACAAUGAGGAACAUCAUUCAUCGAU